UCUGAAGACAGCAUCUUCAGCUGGUCAGUGGGACUGCCCUCUGACGGUGUCGGCAGCACCGCAGUUCAGAGGUGGUGAUGGAAAUGGCUCUUGGUGACCCCAUCUCUCAGAUCCAGGAGGAUACUUCGAGAAGGUGCUGGUGCCUUCUGUCUUCAAGGAGCCGGCCUUAGAGAUGGAGCAAGCAGGCUCCUUUAAGACACAUCUGUGCUCAUAAUUACGUGCUGCUGAAGAGGCUGCUCAUGACUCACGUGGGACUGGACCAUUUGUACAUCUUCUGUGCAAAGUGCUCGUUUUCAGCUUGCAUUUAUUGGCACUGUUCAACUUAGGAGCUAAAGAAGAGAUACAAACAGCAUCCCUGUGCGUUAGCAACGUGCCAAGUGUAACAGAUGAACGCGCUUCUGUGGAGUGUCGCUCCAUCUUAGCCAGUCAGAUUGCUCACUGCUCUGCCUCCAUGGCCAGGGAAAACAUCUCUCCAGAGCUGUGGCUUCCAUUUAUGGCUCAAAGAAAACUGCUUCCUACAAAUCGCUGUCAUAAAUCAAAAGCAGGAAGCCUGCCUCCUUGGAUCCAAUUGAGUAGAUCUCCGAUUGCCAGGUCUCUGUGGAGUUCAGGAGAUUUAU